AGUUUGAUCCUGGCUCAGGAUGAACGCUAGCGGGAGGCCUAACACAUGCAAGCCGAGCGGUAUUUGUCCUUCGGGACAGAGAGAGCGGCGCACGGGUGCGGAACACGUGUGCAACCUGCCUUUAUCAGGGGGAUAGCCUUUCGAAAGGAAGAUAAAUACCCCAUAAUAUAAUUGAUGGCAUCAUUGAUUAUUGAAAGCUCCGGCGGAUAGAGAUGGGCACGCGCAAGAUUAGAUAGUUGGUGAGGUAACGGCUCACCAAGUCAGUGAUCUUUAGGGGGCCUGAGAGGGUGAUCCCCCACACUGGUACUGAGACACGGACCAGACUCCUACGGGAGGCAGCAGUGAGGAAUAUUGGACAAUGGGUGAGAGCCUGAUCCAGCCAUCCCGCGUGAAGGACGACGGCCCUAUGGGUUGUAAACUUCUUUUGUACAGGGAUAAACCUGCCCUCGUGAGGGUAGCUGAAGGUACUGUACGAAUAAGCACCGGCUAACUCCGUGCCAGCAGCCGCGGUAAUACGGAGGGUGCAAGCGUUAUCCGGAUUUAUUGGGUUUAAAGGGUCCGUAGGCGGGCCUGUAAGUCAGUGGUGAAAUCUCGCAGCUUAACUGCGAAACUGCCAUUGAUACUGCAGGUCUUGAGUAAGGUAGAAGUGGCUGGAAUAAGUAGUGUAGCGGUGAAAUGCAUAGAUAUUACUUAGAACACCAAUUGCGAAGGCAGGUCACUAUGUCUUAACUGACGCUGAUGGACGAAAGC
rnacentral:rRNA from 1 species